CCUUACACAGGGGCGCCGUAACCCAUACCGUAACCCGUGUGAGAGCGGGCCGGGGUGAUCCGGGACCUAUUUUCAUGUGCUUUGGCGUGUAGGCAGGCGAGGAGAUUUUUUUAACUUUUGCCUGAAAUUCGCUCCUACUGAGAGUCGAACCCAGGACCUGAGGAGUGCUACUGAGGCCACCUAACGAAUCCGGCUAGGCACCUUUUCGCUGAUGACAUGAAUGCUCAUUUGGGAGACUUUGGCAUUGCAAGUCUCGUUGAUGAUUCCAGAUCAAUAGCAGUUGGACAUUCAGGCUGUAGCAGUUCACUCGCUGUUAGAGGAACUAUAGGCUAUAUCGCUCCAGAGUAUGCUCAAACUGUUCAUGCAACAACCUGUGGGGAUGUUUAUAGUUUUGGAAUAGUACUUCUGGAGAUGAUCAUAGGCAAAAGACCAACUGAACCUCUGUUCGAUGGUGGGCUUAGCAUCGCCAGCUUUGGGGAGAGAAAUUUUCCAGAUCAAGUGUUGCAUAUCAUUGAUCCUCAUCUCCAAGAAGAAUGCAAGGGCCGUAUUCAAGCAUUGGCAGGAACUGUAAAUGAUGUCUAUCGAUGUGUGCUGUCUCUCGUGCAAGUUGCUCUCGCUUGCACGCGUCCAUUCCCAAGGGAAAGAAUGAACAUGAGAGAAGUAGCCAUUAACUUGCAUGCAAUCAGAAAAGCAUAAGUUGCAGCUACUAAAUAAAAGCAAGUCAUGCUUUGCAAGAUCUCGUGUAACUAGCUUAUGUUGUCUUUGAUUCCAAUUGGUAUAAAGAUGGCAAAUAAAAGUAGGCACGAGUAGCAUGCU